rnacentral:misc_RNA from 1 species
GAUGAAGAACGCAGCGAAAUGCGAUAAGUAAUGUGAAUUGCAGAAUUCAGUGAAUCAUCGAAUCUUUGAACGCACAUUGCGCCCCUUGGUAUUCCGAGGGGCAUGCCUGUUCGAGCGUCAUUAUAACCCCUCAAGCGCAGCUUGGUGUUGGGGCCUGCUGCACUGGCAGCCCUUAAAAUCAGUGGCGGCGCCAUCUGGCUCUAAGCGUAGUAAUUCUUCUCGCUAUGGAGUCCUGGUGGAUGCUUGCCAUCAACCCCCAAUUUUUCUAUGGUUGACCUCGGAUCAGGUAGGGAUACCCGCUGAACUUAAGCAUAUCAAUAAGCGGAGGA